GACGAACGCUGGCGGCGUGCUUAACACAUGCAAGUCGAACGGAAAGGCCUCUUUCGGGGGGUACUCGAGUGGCGAACGGGUGAGUAACACGUGAGUAACCUGCCCUUGACUUUGGGAUAACUUCAGGAAACUGGGGCUAAUACCGGAUAGGAGCUCCUGCUGCAUGGUGGGGGUUGGAAAGUUUCGGCGGUUGGGGAUGGACUCGCGGCUUAUCAGCUUGUUGGUGGGGUAGUGGCUUACCAAGGCUUUGACGGGUAGCCGGCCUGAGAGGGUGACCGGCCACAUUGGGACUGAGAUACGGCCCAGACGCCUACGGGAGGCAGCAGUGGGGAAUAUUGCACAAUGGGUGGAAGCCUGAUGCAGCAACUCCGUGUGCGGGAUGACGGCCUUCGGGUUGUAAACCGCUUUCGCUCAUGACGAAGCUUUGUGUGACGGUAGUGGGUAAAGAAGCACCGGCUAACUACGUG
rnacentral:rRNA from 1 species